GUGUGCUUGAUCAAUAUAGGAGUUCUUUAACUCCUAAAAUUGUACAAGCUCUUGUGUGUACUCAAGAUUGGAUUCGAAAAUUAUCAUCACAAGAAGACAUCAAAAAGAUUGAAGAAUAAAUCCAAGAUAUUGACAAGAUUGAAAAUGAUUUAAUGCAAAUGGAGAUUUUUUGGAGAGAAGAAAUGGAUAUAAAUGGAGAAUAUUAAAGACUUCCAUUUCAAUUAUGUGUUAAUUUUAAGACUUAUGUAAUGUUUUUAAUUAUGUAGUGAUUCAAUUCGGGUAA